GAAAUUGCACAGUGGCAUUAUUGUAGCCAUUGAGGUUUAUACGAGGUGCAUUAUUGCUAACUGAAAACUUUUACCAAUACCCCGCCAUGAUGACUUGCAAUAUAGUUGGCAUUGGCAAA
rnacentral:snRNA from 1 species